ACGCGUGGAACCUUACCAGGUCUUGACAUCCUCUGACACUCCUAGAGAUAGGACGUUCCCCUUCGGGGGACAGAGUGACAGGUGGUGCAUGGUUGUCGUCAGCUCGUGUCGUGAGAUGUUGGGUUAAGUCCCGCAACGAGCGCAACCCUUGUCCUUAGUUGCCAUCAUUAAGUUGGGCACUCUAAGGUGACUGCCGGUGACAAACCGGAGGAAGGUGGGGAUGACGUCAAAUCAUCAUGCCCCUUAUGACCUGGGCUACACACGUGCUACAAUGGAUGGUACAAAGGGCAGCAAAGCGGUGACGCCUAGCGAAUCCCAUAAAACCAUUCUCAGUUCGGAUUGCAGGCUGCAACUCGCCUGCAUGAAGCCGGAAUCGCUAGUAAUCGCGGAUCAGCAUGCCGCGGUGAAUACGUUCCCGGGCCUUGUACACACCGCCCGU
rnacentral:rRNA from 1 species